UUUUCAAAUUUAAUUCUAUCUAAGGCAAAAUCUUAAAACUUUUCUUGUUGAAUCCUGAAGGUUAAGUCAAUAAAUAUUCUUCCUCUCUCAUCUCAUCCUUCUCUCACUCGCAAGUCUAGAUGCUCAAAUAUUCAUCAACUAAGUGUCUACAUCCAGAAAUAAGAAUGGAACCCAAAAGGAAGAAUCCAACCACACCAAAGAAAGUAUCUAAAGAGAGUGUACCUUGACAACUUGUCAACGAGGACUCUGAUUAUGAAGACGAUGAGCCUUUGCUCAGGCGGAAAACAAAGAGUACUAGUCCAAAGACUCCACCUCCACCUAAGCCUAUUGGGGUGGAGGAUACUGAUGAUACUGCGUUGACAACCUCAUCUAAGAAAGCUUCUGAGGAACAAGGAUCAGAACAUACUAAUCAGGGGUCUAAGGACACUAAACAAGUAGCUGAAACUGAAGAUUCUCAGAGGCCUCCAACUGAAGAAACUGAGUCUGAAUCACCAUCUUUGAGCAUCAAGGUGAUAAGGAUUCUCCAGUAUGGGGAAAUUUAGUGAAAGGAAAAAACCCCGAGGUUGGCAGAAUAGAUCGACGAAAUUCCAGAAGGCCAAUUCUAGAGGAGAAGAAGAUUAUCACUACAAGGUUGAUCAGAUACCCUGAGGUGAUGCAAAAACUCAAGGAGUAUUGCCUGGAGUUGACUACUAGGGGGAGCGUGUUUACUUUCCUUCGUUGGUCCACGAGUUCUACACGAACUACCAGGCUACAGUGGAAAAUAUGUGCAAAGAAGGGAAUCAAACUUCUGAUAAGGCUCUUCUGACCAAAGUUGCAGUAAGUUGAGUAAGGGUGGAUAUAUCAUAUACCACCAUAAAUAGAUUUCUUUAUGGGCCAGUAUUCAUCCCAUAAUCCACCUCACCUACAUUCUAUGCCCGUUUGAAGCAUCGAGAAAAUCAAAGCAAGUGGCAAGCGAAUCUCAUAGCAGAUGGGGAGCCAGAGUGAUUGAAUAAUCCGGAAGAAAAGAUUACCAAAGCAUCUCUGAAUUUAGAAGCAAGAUUUUGGUGGGGUUUAGUCCAAAUUCAUCUAAUACCCACCAAGGGAGACAAUGUAUUAGGGGAUGAUCAAGCAAUUUUGGUUGCAAUCUUAAUAGAUAGGACCCCCUUGGAUUUCGGAGAGGUCAUAGCAGAGGAGAUCAAGAUACAGCUCGCAUGACCUGAUGUUGUAUAUCCAAUCCCAUGUCUGAUUACUAGGUUGCGUGAACCAGCUAAUGUACCUGAGAUUUCAAGUAUUGAUGAUGAGAUACAUGCCAAGAAGACUCACAACCUUGUUAGAAAAAAUAAAAUUAGGAUGGGCUUGCGACUUGAUCGAGAUGCAGAUGGUGCAGCAGAUCCUCCGAUCACUGAGACUGUUCUAGCACCACAUAUGCGGAUGUAAAGCUCCAAAGCUGGACCACCACCACCAGUACAUUCAGUUCAGGCAUAUUCAGUGCCUCAAAGUGAGCCAACUGCUUCAGUUCCUCCAGCAGCAACACGGUUAGCAUUUCAACCAAUUAAUAUCAGGAAAGUAGCUAGACAAGCGAAUUGGUACGAGGUGCAACUUCAGGCCUUCUCCAAAUAAUUUGCUAUUUCUGUAGACAAAAGAGUAAAAGUUGCACCCAAAUCUGCACUAGAACCUUUCAUGACCUUUCCUUCACGGGUAGCAGAGCUAGAGAACAGGUUUGAUGCUCGGAUGAAAGAGAUGACAGGCGCUGAUCUUGCCACUUUUAGGGAUGCAUUGGAAAAGGUAAAGGAUAAGGUUGGGAUGCUACAUCAACACCAAAUUAUGGUGCCAACAGGAUCAGGCAUGCAUGAUGUAGAGGAAGAAAUUCCUAUACUUGAUCUUGCUGUAGAUUCCCCAAAGAAAAAUAAGAAAAAGGGUGAAAAGAAAGGCAAGAACAAAAGAGGUGAGCCUGCUAGUGAAGAAAAGAGAAAGGCUAAAAAAAAAGCAAAGAAGAAGGUAGAGAAGGAAGACUUUAAAAGGGCAAGACUGGAGUCUCUGGAUAACAUAGAGAAAUGGAAGCACCCAUCAGAGCUAGGGCUUCAGGUGCUUCAUCGAGCCAGGCUCCAGCCACUACAAAGGUAGAUGCCACGAGUGGGGAGAAGAUAGCUAAUGAUACGGUAGGAGGGUCGAAGACCCAGAAUCCACAAGAUUGACUAUCUUCAGAAAUAUUCCUCCAUUCGAGCGAGAAGAAAUAAUGAUGGUCAGUAACCUCAACCCGCUGACCUAUUGAAUGAAAAUGUGCCUCAUGCUAAAAUUUGGGAAGCCUUUCAGGCGCUGGCCCAAGCUGUUACUGCAAAUAUUCAAGCCAACCCGGCCCCAUCUUCACAGCAGUAGGGAGGUGAUUCAGCUGCUUCCAAGAUCUGUGACUUCAUGCGGAAUUCUAUGGGGCCAAGUUUGAUGAGGAUCCACGAUUAUUCUUAGAGGAGGUGUAGAAGAUUACUCAGGUGAUGCAUGUUUCUGAGGAACAUAGUGUGGAGUUGGCUGCGUAUAGGUUGAAAGACCUCACUUAUGACUAGGUUAUUUCUUGAAGGAAAGGUAGAGGUGAGGGAGCUAUCCCUACGACUUGGCAAGAGUUCCAGGAUGUAUUCCAAGAUAAGUUUUUCCUUUUGGAGAUGAGGGAGGUAAAGGUGGAAGAGU